rnacentral:rRNA from 1 species
GGCNUGCANGUCGAACGAAAAACCGGAGCUUGCUCCGGUAGAUGAGUGGCGAAAGGGUGAGUAACGCGUGAGCAACCUGCCUCUGAAUUUGGAAUAACAGUUGGAAACGACUGCUAAUACCGGAUGUGGAUAUAAAUUCGCAUGGAUUUAUAUUUAAAGAUUUAUUGUUCAGAGAUGGGCUCGCGUUUCAUUAGCUAGUUGGUGUGGUAACGGCACACCAAGGCAACGAUGAAUAGCUGGUCUGAGAGGAUGACCAGCCACACUGGGACUGAGACACUGCCCAGACUCCUGCGGGAGGCUGCAGUCGAGAAUCUUCCGCAAUGCGCGAAAGCGUGACGGAGCGAUGCCGCGUGCAUGAUGAAGGCCUUCGGGUUGUAAAAUGCUGUCACUGGGGACGAAAUUUGACGGUACCCAGAGAGGAAGCCACGGCUAACUACGUGCCAGCAGCCGCGGUAAUACGUAGGUGGCGAGCGUUGUUCGGAUUUAUUGGGCGUAAAGGGUCCGUAGGCGGUCUAUCAAGUCUGAUGUGAAAUCUCAGGGCUCAACCCUGAAACUGCAUUGGAAACUAGUAGACUAGAGUAUCGGAGAGGCAAGCGGAAUACCUGGUGUAGCGGUGGAAUGCGUAGAUAUCAGGUAGAACACCGAAAGCGAAGGCAGCUUGCUGGACGAUUACUGACGCUCAGGGACGAAAGCGUGGGGAGCGAACAGGAUUAGAUACCCUGGUAGUCCACGCCGUAAACUUUGUGAACUUGAUGUGGGUCGGCUCAUCCCGAUCCGUGUCGAAGCUAACGCGAUAAGUUCACCGCCUGGGGACUANNGCCGCAAGGCUAAAACUCAAAGGAAUUGACGGGGGCCCGCACAAGCGGNGGANCAUGUGGNUUAAUUCGAGGCAACGCGAANAANNUUACCC